rnacentral:rRNA from 1 species
UACAACUUUCAACAACGGAUCUCUUGGCUCUCGCAUCGAUGAAGAACACAGCGAAAUGUGAUAAGUAAUGUGAAUUGCAGAAUCCAGUGAAUCAUCGAUCUUGACGCAU